UGGUUACAGCUCGUCGUGUCGUGUCCGCCCGAUGGCGGUCAGCUUGGAGAGUUGAGCGCUGAACUUGCCGUCGUUGUGGGUCACUACAGGUCAGAGGGGAGAGUAAAUUGCUGUCACAGACAACAUCACUACAAAAAUACGGGGACACACAUACAGUGUCAGCAGCAACGCAAAGCACCUGAACCCAGUCAGCAUUGUCUGGCCGCAGAUCUGCAGAGGCAGCAAUUUCAGACCUGCUGGUCCAGUCCAACGUGCGCUGCCUGUUGCCAAGUCAAGUAACAGCAGCAGGAUGGAGAUGAGCAAGGAGAGUAAUACAGUGCUGCAGGAACAAGUCCUAAAAUCCAAAUCCAAGCACUUCUGGUUCCUUCAUUACAAAGUUGAUGGUUUUUUUACAGUUCGCCUUUACAGCCUCGUUGUGUUUAAACUCGCACUCUUCCAAACGAUAACUAACUUUCCAAGAGGAGAAGCUGUUGCAGAAGAGGCAGGUGCAUCAAAUCCAAUUACAAGUUGGCGGAAGCUUAGUGGUAGAGAUGACAGUGAUGCAGUUUGUUUAUAGCCUAACAUUAGACUUUUAUAUCUGGCGAUUGCAUUUAGGCUUCAAAUCAUCAUAAAAGUGGUGUACGUGUCUUUUGUUUGUCCCUUAUUUUCUGCAACAAUCUUAAAGCUAAUGGAAAAAUCCCAUUGGCUUUUUUCUUUUUCUUCUUGAGUGAAUGAGGCUGAUACCAACUUCUGGGCUGGCCUACCAAAAUACAUCAUUCCUGCAGCACUCUAUAGCUGCAGCCAUUUUUCAUUCGUGCCACCUGCAGGCAAUGAAUGCUACAACUGCAUUUUUCUUUUCUUUUUAGAACUGCUGCUGUGUUCAUGAGUUUUAUGUUUUAGAUAUUCAACCUGAAAAUGUUAUUGUUCUGUUCCCUAGGGCAUUUUUUCUUUUACAUUACUUUGGACAGAAGGGGUGAGGAGACUUAAACAGUUUUUUAUUUGUCCAAAGAUCACGGAAAAACUGUUGGGGACUCCAUCCCAGAGAUGGGAUUAUGCUCAAGUGAUAUUUGGUGAGUUUUUUUAUUCUGUAAGACUCCGCAAUGUAGAUUUCUCUACUGAAAAUUGCAGUUACAGUAAAUUGCUGUUCAGUUUGGCUCGUUGCUAAUCACAGUCUGGAACUGGAAAUGCAUUGGGGAUUUUCUGAAGAUACUGAAUAACAAGAAACAAUGCUACAGGGACAAAUGGCAUCCCACUCACUGCUUGAGUAUAUGCUUGAGACGGAAAUCAGCACGGGAGGGAGGGAGGGAGAGAAAGAUUUACAUUACAAGCAGUGGGAGUUGAUCAAUUUCUCACCUGUUGAGUCUCUAAUGGUGAAUUCCUCCGGCUUCAAAGGCACGUCACUCUGUCCCGCCGCUGCCGUCUGCGACUGGAGUCACGUGCAGCAGCAGUGAUGAAGAGGAGGAUGAGAGGAAAAGGAAGAAGGAGAAAAAUAAACAGGAUGCGAACAGUGGACGGGGCUGGGAAAGAUGAAGGAUGUGACGUCAAGGGCACAGAGCCAGAGCGAGAGGCUGAAACAUGUGCUCUCACUAAUGACAGAGUGUCAGGACUGUCCUUGCCGGGGGAAGGAGGCGUGUCAAGGUGUUCUUCACUUCACCAACAACCACAUCAGACACAGACGACAGUCCUCCGCCGAGUGACUGAGCUCAGACACAGUCCAGACAUUAACCUUCCAUGAAACAUUACGUGCAAAGAUGCGACAAUUCUGAGUCGGACUUCCAGGACAAAUAAAGUUUAGAUGUCACUUUGAA